rnacentral:rRNA from 1 species
UACGUAGGUGGCAAGCGUUGUCCGGAUUUACUGGGCGUAAAGAGCGCGCAGGCGGUCGUGCAAGUCGCGUGUGAAAGCCCCCGGCUCAACUGGGAGGGUCACGCGAUACUGCUCGACUCGAAGGCAGGAGAGGGAAGUGGAAUUCCCGGUGUAGUGGUGAAAUGCGUAGAUAUCGGGAGGAACACCAGUGGCGAAGGCGACUUCCUGGCCUGUUCUUGACGCUGAGGCGCGAAAGCUAGGGUAGCAACGGG